UACAGAGGGUGCUAGCGUUGUUCGGAAUCAUUGGGCGUAAAGCGCGUGUAGGCGGCCCGGUAAGUCCGCUGUGAAAGUCGGGGGCUCAACCCUCGGAUGCCGGUGGAUACUGUCGGGCUAGAGUGCGGAAGAGGCGAGUGGAAUUCCCGGUGUAGCGGUGGAAUGCGUAGAGAUCGGGAAGAACAUCAGUGGCGAAGGCGGCCUGCUGGGCUGUUGCUGACGCUGAGGCGCGACAGCGUGGGGGAGCAAACAGG
rnacentral:rRNA from 1 species